AUUAAACGCUGGCGGCAUGCCUUACACAUGCAAGUCGAACGGCAGCACGGAGCUUGCUCUGGUGGCGAGUGGCGAACGGGUGAGUAAUAUAUCGGAACGUACCCUAGAGUGGGGGAUAACGUAGCGAAAGUUACGCUAAUACCGCAUACGAUCUAAGGAUGAAAGUGGGGGAUUCGCAAGAACCUCAUGCUCGUGGAGCGGCCGAUAUCUGAUUAGCUAGUUGGUAGGGUAAAAGCCUACCAAGGCAUCGAUCAGUAGCUGGUCUGAGAGGACGACCAGCCACACUGGAACUGAGACACGGUCCAGACCCCUACGGGAGGCAGCAGUGGGGAAUUUUGGACAAUGGGCGAAAGCCUGAUCCAGCAAUGCCGCGUGAGUGAAGAAGGCCUUCGGGUUGUAAAGCUCUUUUGUCAGGGAAGAAACGGUGAAAGCUAAUAUCUUUUGCUAAUGACGGUACCUGAAGAAUAAGCACCGGCUAACUACGUGCCAGCAGCCGCGGUAAUACGUAGGGUGCAAGCGUUAAUCGGAAUUACUGGGCGUAAAGCGUGCGCAGGCGGUUUUGUAAGUCUGAUGUGAAAUCCCCGGGCUCAACCUGGGAAUUGCAUUGGAGACUGCAAGGCUAGAAUCUGGCAGAGGGGGGUAGAAUUCCACGUGUAGCAGUGAAAUGCGUAGAUAUGUGGAGGAACACCGAUGGCGAAGGCAGCCCCCUGGGUCAAGAUUGACGCUCAUGCACGAAAGCGUGGGGAGCAAACAGGAUUAGAUACCCUGGUAGUCCACGCCCUAAACGAUGUCUACUAGUUGUCGGGUCUUAAUUGACUUGGUAACGCAGCUAACGCGUGAAGUAGACCGCCUGGGGAGUACGGUCGCAAGAUUAAAACUCAAAGGAAUUGACGGGGACCCGCACAAGCGGUGGAUGAUGUGGAUUAAUUCGAUGCAACGCGAAAAACCUUACCUACCCUUGACAUGGCUGGAAUCCUUGAGAGAUCAGGGAGUGCUCGAAAGAGAACCAGUACACAGGUGCUGCAUGGCUGUCGUCAGCUCGUGUCGUGAGAUGUUGGGUUAAGUCCCGCAACGAGCGCAACCCUUGUCAUUAGUUGCUACGAAAGGGCACUCUAAUGAGACUGCCGGUGACAAACCGGAGGAAGGUGGGGAUGACGUCAAGUCCUCAUGGCCCUUAUGGGUAGGGCUUCACACGUCAUACAAUGGUACAUACAGAGCGCCGCCAACCCGCGAGGGGGAGCUAAUCGCAGAAAGUGUAUCGUAGUCCGGAUUGUAGUCUGCAACUCGACUGCAUGAAGUUGGAAUCGCUAGUAAUCGCGGAUCAGCAUGUCGCGGUGAAUACGUUCCCGGGUCU
rnacentral:rRNA from 1 species